rnacentral:snRNA from 1 species
GUGCUCAUUUCGGCAGCACAUAUACUAAAAUAUUGGAAUGAUACAGAGAAGAUUAGCAUGGCCCCUUGCACAAGACAAGGAUGACAUGCAAAUUUGUGAAGCGUUCCAUAUUUUU